rnacentral:rRNA from 1 species
GAAAGAACGCUGGCGGGAUGCUUUACACAUGCAGUCGAACGGCAGCACGAGAGAGCUUGCUCUCUUGGUGGCGAGUGGCGGACGGGUGAGUAAUAUAUCGGAACGUGCCCGGUAGCGGGGGAUAACUACUCGAAAGAGUGGCUAAUACCGCAUACGCCCUACGGGGGAAAGGGGGGGAUCGCAAGACCUCUCACUAUUGGAGCGGCCGAUAUCGGAUUAGCUAGUUGGUGGGGUAAAGGCUCACCAAGGCAACGAUCCGUAGCUGGUUUGAGAGGACGACCAGCCACACUGGGACUGAGACACGGCCCACACUCCUACGGGAGGCAGCAGUGGGGAAUUUUGGACAAUGGGGGAAACCCUGAUCCAGCCAUCCCGCGUGUAUGAUGAAGGCCUUCGGGUUGUAAAGUACUUUUGGCAGAGAAGAAAAGGCAUCCCCUAAUACGGGAUGCUGCUGACGGUAUCUGCAGAAUAGGCACCGGCUAACUACGUGCCC